rnacentral:piRNA from 1 species
UGCCAAUUGUUCUUUUCCACUUUAACCCCC